rnacentral:rRNA from 1 species
GACGAACGCUGGCGGCGUGCUUAACACAUGCAAGUCGAACGGAAAGGCCCUGCUUUUGUGGGGUGCUCGAGUGGCGAACGGGUGAGUAACACGUGAGUAACCUGCCCUUGACUUUGGGAUAACUUCAGGAAACUGGGGCUAAUACCGGAUAGGAGCUCCUGCUGCAUGGUGGGGGUUGGAAAGUUUCGGCGGUUGGGGAUGGACUCGCGGCUUAUCAGCUUGUUGGUGGGGUAGUGGCUUACCAAGGCUUUGACGGGUAGCCGGCCUGAGAGGGUGACCGGCGACAUUGGGACUGAGAGACGGCCCAGACUCCUACGGGAGGCAGCAGGGGGGAAUAUUGCACAAUGGGCGGAAGCCUGAUGCAGCAACGCCGCGUGCGGGAUGACGGCCUUCGGGUUGUAAACCGCUUUCGCCUGUGACGAAGCGUGAGUGACGGUAAUGGGUAAAGAAGCACCGGCUAACUACGUG